CGUCGGUUUAGCAACUUUGGCCGAGCGGUUAAGGUCAGCUGAUCUCCAUUCCGAAUAACUGAAUCAAAACUAACAAAAUAAACAGGCGCCAGACUCAAGAAUAAAUAUAUUCUUCACUGAUUACAGUGAGCAUUCUGGUCACGAAAGUGGCGUGGGUUCGAUUCCCACAGGUUGCAU
rnacentral:tRNA from 1 species